rnacentral:rRNA from 1 species
GCAGCCGCGGUAAUUCCAGCUCCAAUAGCGUAUAUUAAAGUUGUUGCAGUUAAAAAGCUCGUAGUUGAAUUUUGGGUUUGGCCGAUUGGUCCGUUCUUGUAACGAGUACUGGUCGGUCGGGCCUCACCGCCUGGUGAUACGUAAUGCCCUUUAUUGGGUGUUGCGAGUAGCCAGGACCUUUACCUUGAAAAAAUUAGAGUGUUUAAAGCAGGCUUAUGCCGGAAUACAUUAGCAUGGAAUAAUAGAAUAGGACGAUGAUUCUAUUUUGUUGGUUUCUAGGAGCAUCGUAAUGAUUAAUAGGGAUAGUUGGGGGCAUUAGUAUUCAAUUGUCAGAGGUGAAAUUCUUGGAUUUAUUGAAGACUAACUACUGCGAAAGCAUUUGCCAAGGAUGUUUUCAUUAAUCAAGAACGAAAGUUAGGGGAUCGAAGACGAUCAGAUACCGUCGUAGUCUUAACCAUAAACUAUGCCGACUAGGGAUCGGGCGAUGUUGUUUCAAUGACUCGCUCGGCACCUUAUGGG